rnacentral:lncRNA from 1 species
CUGCCAAGGGGGCGGGCAUGCGCUGUUGUUCAACUCAUUGGCCAGAGCAGUGUCACAUGACUGCCUGCAGAGGGGCGGGAAAUGUCAUGUUUCCAUCUCAUUGGCCAGAGCGGCUUCACCUGACUGCAGACAGAGGGCUGUGAUGUUUUUAAGUAGAAGCAUUGUUGUCCUUGACAAAGUAGAGGCCGUGUUAACAAAAGAGAAAAGGAAGGAUACCAUCUAUCAGAAGUUACCUCAGCAAUUUAAUAACAGCUUCUGAGGGGGAAAGAAAACAGAAAGAAGGAUGAAAUUAAAUGUCUAGAUCAAUUGAAAGAAGCAUCUUCUUUUGGACAGUUUGAAAUGUAUGCCCCAGAAUUGAAGAAAUGCAAUAUUAAUAUCAAAAGGCGGUUUCUAGAUUUCGGAUUCCUGGAAACGCUCCCAGGAACCGCCAAAGAGGAAGAGCAGAAGCAGCGCUGUUCCCGCGAACAGAGUAGAGUUCUAUUCUGCUACCAACUGGCCGAGGGACGCGGGGACGUCCCCUGCUCACUGUCUUCAGUUUUCUGUGGGACAAUGAGCCUCAGGCCUCCUAGCCCUGACUCUGGCAGAAGAGCAAAUUCCUUGGCCUGACCCAGCGGCACGUGCGGGCUCCUGGGGAGGGGCGUGGCCGACCCGGCCUCCCCCAGUGACCUGCACCUCCCCUCAGGCCCAGAGUGAAGAGCAGGGCAGCGGAGGCCACACUGCCAGGACCCUGGGCCUCGGGACGCAGCAGGCCGGGUUCCCAGCCUCCUCCCUGUGCGUUUGCUGGAGUCCUGUACCCACUCUUGGCGCCAGCCUGUCCCCAUCUCUGCCCUCCCCGCCCUGCCAUCCUAGACUGGCUCCCAGGAUGCCUGGAAGGCAGACUCUGGCAGCCUGUGAGUGGGUGGGAGGGAGGGCAGGACCCCAGAGGAGAAGGGAGAAGAAAUCAUGGGCUCCAAGUGGGUGCAUUUACUCCCAUCUGCUCCAGGUUAUCUUUAAAUAGGAUAAAAUUACCCUCUCAGCUCCUUUAUCUCCAUGCAGUACUUCUAAAAAAAGAGCAUCUUGACAUUUUAGGAGGAAAAAAAUAAGGAGAAGAUGAGACAUGUAAUAUCCAGUGUAUACUGAGGAUGGAGAAAUUUCAAUGAACUCAUAGUCAAACCUCCUUAAUGUCUUGAAAAAGAAAACCACACCGGGGUCUGAUGUCGGGAGGGGAGGAGAGUAUUCCAGGAGGAAAGCCCGGCUCCGAGGUAGAAAGAAGGCUGUGGGGAGGGGGUGGGGCAGGUUGGUCCCCUGGAGCUGGGGUCUGAGACAGGCCGUUGGGGUUUGGGGGGCUGAUGCAAGAACUCUGGGACUCAAGCGCCCCAGGACUCUGCACUCACUACCCACCCCCCCCCCCCCACUUGCUUUCUACCCCUUUGCAAACUGGCUCCUGGCCCCCCUGCUAGUGAGACUCUCUCCAUGGUAAGGCCUCACCAGCAAGUCCUUGCCUUGGCUGUCAGCUCCCGCCCUCUCCCCACGCCCACCCUCUCCCUGGUCAGCCAGGACCCUGUGCUCCCUGGUGGCCCUCUUCUGUCCACUCUGUUUCUGCUCUUCACUGCUCCUUCUCUGAAGAUGCCCCCAAGCUGUGUUCCCUAGUCCCUUCUCCUUGACCUGCUAACAGACCUGGGACUCAGGGACAUGGGAAGGAGACUUCGGUCAAGGUCACAGCAACAGGCACUAGAAGCAGAGUGAUGGGUCUUCGAGCUGAUGUGAGACUGCAGGCAGCACGUUCAAGGAGAAAGAGGAUGAACUUGGAAGCAGACACACCUGCCUUCAGAUCCUGGUUCUAUCAUUUGCCAGCCACGUGACCUUGGGCAAGUCACCCUCAACCCUCUGAUGACACAUUUCUCCACAGGAGCAACCUGCCAGGGUUCCUGCGAGGCUGGGCCCAGUGUCUGACACACAUCUGCUCCAGAGGAUGAAUGCUAACCUCUUUUCUAGAAUUUCUCCAGUUUCUUUUAAUCAUCUGUUUAUUUGCCUGUGGUCCUCACAGGCUCGAGAGCUCCUGAAGGCAGGAAUCGCAUCUGUGCUCUCAGCUUCAAGUCCCGUGUGGGCAAGGCAUCAGUUGCCGGUACAGGCGGCCUGACCUCGUGGGACACCUGGGCUCUCGAACACUGCUUUGCCUGAGUCCUUGCCUUCUCUUCCUUGAAGCACUGCGCAUGGAUCAGAGCUCCUUGCAAAUGGCUUCAGUAGAUACAAUAUUGCUAAUUGGAAACAACGAGAAUGACUUUAUACCCUGUAUCUUUUUGAAAUCUCUACGCUCUAAGGAUUAUUUGUAUCCUACGAGAGGCCCAAAGAUGGUCCAAAGAAAAUAACACUGUCCACAAACUACUGGAGCGCCUGCCUGAGAACCGCAGGACUCAGGAUCGUCAGCCUCCCGGGACGCGGUGGCGGGAUGACGGAGUUCUCCUCCAGGUCCCCCGAGAAUGCUGUCCUCGCCCCGCAGGCGUCUUCGCUGCAGGCUGAGUAGGACUCUGAGAUGGUCUUGUGCACGCUGAGCCCAACUGCUGGUCCGUGUCGACUGCAACCUGACUGACAGAGACCAAUAAAAAUAAUAUGACCCUUUCCUUUUGAAAUGUCCUCUAAUAACUCCAUUAGUUUCGCAGCCAAACCAAGGCAUGGAAAUUCCAGAACAACAGAGAAGUUUGUGCCACUCCCCCCCAGCUAUGGGGACUGUUCUCCCAAUCACAUAACUCGUAACCUCACCAAGGGCCUCUGUAGCCGUGAAAUGCUCUGGCCAGUGGGUGAGGGGCUGUAGGUGGACAGUGUCUGUGGGCAGACCAAGCUAAUGUUGUUGGAGCGGAGCAGGUCACCGCAGGGGAGGGCCCUGGGAGUGGUCACCAUGCUACAGCCACCGCUGCAGCCCAGCGUGACCUGGACAGCCCUGCUGGAAGUCGUGCUGUGCCCGGUCCCUGCAGGGCCGGCCGAGGAACGUCUAUAUUCAUUUCUUGAACUUCGUUCUGUUCCAUUUUCAUUCAAAUGACUUCCUGAAACCGAUUUUCUGGGCCCCUGGUGGCAUUUCCAUUCAUGCUUGCUCACUUUUAUUGACUUUUAUGGCAUCGUCUCUGGAACGGGUUCAUUAAUUUCCUCCUUUUCUUUCUUAAGAUACACCAGCUCAUUUUUCAACACUUUCUUUUUGUAGCUCUCAUCAAUAACUCUUCUUCGAGCCCUUGGGUCUUUCAGUUUUUCAUUUUGUUUCGUGUCUGGCCAUCCUGCUAGCUUGCCUAAGCAUUUCUUGUGGUUCUUGGGUAAUUCUAUUUAUUUGGGGGUGGGGGAGGGUAGCUCUUCUUAUGAAGUAAGUUCUUCAUUUAACUUUUGGUUAUGUUCCUUUUUUCUCAUGGUAUUUCCUUCAUGAGGGGCUGUUUCUCUGUACAAGCUCUUGUGUUCGUUCCUUGAUGGUGAUUAUUUACUUCUGAAUAGACCUGACCAUUUAUUGGAGCAGAAGGGGUGGGGAGCAGAUGGUCCCAGCUUCCAUUUGGGUUGUCAUCUCAAACAUCCUCACCCCAGAUACGUCAUUUCCUUUGUCCAAGGCGGGUGAGAUGUCCCCGCAGCUUUCGGUGGUCAAGAAUUGAGCAUGGCUUGCUGAAUCGGGGCACUGGGUCUCCUGUGG